GAUGAACGCUGGCGGCGUGCCUAAUACAUGCAAGUCGAGCGAAUGGAUUAAGAGCUUGCUCUUAUGAAGUUAGCGGCGGACGGGUGAGUAACACGUGGGUAACCUGCCCAUAAGACUGGGAUAACUCCGGGAAACCGGGGCUAAUACCGGAUAACAUUUUGAACCGCAUGGUUCGAAAUUGAAAGGCGGCUUCGGCUGUCACAUAUGGAUGGACCCGCGUCGCAUUAGCUAGUUGGGGAGGUAACGGCUCACCAAGGCAACGAUGCGUAGCCGACCGGAGAGGGGGAUCAGCCACACUGGGACUGAGACACAGCCCAGACUCCUACGGGAGGCAGCAGUAGGGAAUCUUCCGCAAUGGACGAAAGUCUGACGGAGCAACGCCGCGUGAGUGAUGAAGGCUUUCGGGUCGUAAAACUCUGUUGUUAGGGAAGAACAAGUGCUAGUUGAAUAAGCUGGCACCUUGACGGUACCUAACCAGAAAGCCACGGCUAACUACGUGCCAGCCGCCGCUGUAA
rnacentral:rRNA from 1 species